GCCCUGUGGGGAAGGUGUCUUGCUUCCCCUUCGCCUUCCACCAUGAAUAUAAGUUUCCUGAGGAUUCCCCAGCCGUGCUGAACUAGAUGGGGUCUCACUGUGUUGCCUAGGCUAGUCUCAAACUCCUGGCCUCAAACUGUCAUCCCACCUUAGCCUCCCAAAGUGCCAGGAUCACAGAUUUCUUCCACCGGUUGUGAUUUUGUCCCAGGAGAAUGUGUGCACACGGUGGCCACCAGAGGGAGCCCUUCAGCGACAGAGGAUGAGAGCUGCAGGAUGGUCAGAGGAAACCCAAUCCACAUUGGAACAAGGCUUCUUAAGACAUGGAUGUAAUUUGGUGGUGCGGAAAAAUCAGAGUGUUCAAAACAG